CCUGAACGCUGGCGGCGUGGCUAAGACAUGCAAGUCGUACGGUGUAGCAAUACACAGUGGCGAACGGGUGAGUAAUGAAUCGCUAACGUGCCCUGGACUCCGGGAUAGCUAUCCGAAAGGGUAGGUAAUACCGGGUAAUAUAACCGAUCCGCAUGGGUUGGUUCUCAAAGGUCCGCCGGUCUGGGAGCGGGCGAUUUCGUAUCAGCUAGUUGGUGAGGUAACGGCUCACCAAGGCGACGACGCGUAGCCGGACUGAGAGGUUGGCCGGCCACAUUGG
rnacentral:rRNA from 1 species